AUUGAACGCUGGCGGCAGGCCUAACACAUGCAAGUCGAACGGUAACAGGAAGAAGCUUGCUUCUUUGCGGAGGAGGGGCGGACGGGAGAGUAAUGUCUGGGAAACUGCCUGAGGGAGGGGGAUAACUACUGGAAACGGUAGCUAAUACCGCAUAACGUCGCAAGACCAAAGAGGGGGACCUUCGGGCCUCUUGCCAGCGGAUGUGCCCAGAUGGGAUUAGCUAGUAGGUGGGGUAACGGCUCACCGAGGCGACGAUCCGUAGCUAGUCUGAGAGGAUGACCAGCCACACUGGAACUGAGACACGGUCCAGACUCCUACGGGAGGCAGCAGUGGGGAAUAUUGCACAAUGGGCGCAAGCCUGAUCCAGCCAUGCCGCGUGUAUGAAGAAGGCCUUCGGGUUGUAAAGUGCUUUCAGCGGGGACGAAGAGAGUAAAGUUAAUACCUGUAGUUAUUGACGUUACCGGCAGAAGAAGCACCGGCUAACUACGUG
rnacentral:rRNA from 1 species